ACAUAUCCAAUGAUCCGGAGAUAUCUGAAUGGGGAAACCCGGCAGAGGAAACCUCUGUCAGCGUGCAGUGAAUACAUAGCUGUACGUGGGGAACCCGGGGAACUGAAACAUCUAAGUACCCGGAGGAAGAGAAAGAAAAUUUAUCGAUUUCCAAAGUAGCGGCGAGCGAAAUGGAAAGAGCCCAAACCGUGAUGCGUGCAUCGCGGGGUUCGGACUGCGUUGUGGCAGACGUAAGAUAGGAGAACGGACUGGGAAGUCCGGCCGGAGAGAGUGAAAGCCUCGUAUCCGAAAUCCCAAGUCGCCUAGCAGGAUCCAGAGUAGGACGAGACACGAGAAACCUUGUCUGAACGAGCGGGGACCACCCCGUAAGGCUAAAUACUUCUUAGUGACCGAUAGCGCAUAGUACUGUGAAGGAAAGGUGAAAAGUACCCCGGGAGGGGAGUGAAAGAGAACCUGAAACCCUGUGUCUACAAGCUGUGGGACCUCUUUAUAUGAGGGACUGCGUACUUUUUGUAGAACGGUCCGGCGAGUUGUGCGUACUGGCGAGGUUAAGGACUUAAGGUCUGGAGCCGAAGUGAAAGCAAGCGUUAAUAGCGCGUCAAGUCAGUGAGUGCAGACCCGAAACCGGGUGACCUAUCCAUGUCCAGGUUGAAGCUUCCGUAAGAGGAAGUGGAGGACCGAACCCACAUCCGUUGAAAAGGGUGGGGAUGAGGUGUGGAUAG
rnacentral:rRNA from 1 species